rnacentral:rRNA from 1 species
GAUGAACGCUAGCGGCAGGCUUAAUACAUGCAAGGCGAGGGGGCAGCAAUGUCACCGUCGUACGGGUGCGUAACGCGUAUGCAACCUACCUUCAACUGGGGGAUAGCCCGGGGAAACCCGGAUUAAUACCGCAUAAUACAUUUGUAUAGCAUUAUACGAUUUGUUAAAGAUUUAUUGGUUGAAGAUGGGCAUGCGUUCGAUUAGCUAGUUGGCAGGGUAACGGCCUACCAAGGCAACGAUCGAUAGGGGAGCUGAGAGGUUGAUCCCCCACACGGGCACUGAGAUACGGGCCCGACUCCUACGAGAGGCAGCAGUAGGGAAUAUUGGGCAAUGGAUGCAAGUCUGACCCAGCCAUGCCGCGUGCCGGAUGAAGGCCCUCAGGGUUGUAAACGGCUUUUAUUCGGGAAGAAGAGCAGGGAUGCGUCCCUGUGUGACGGUACCGAAUGAAUAAGCACCGGCUAACUCCG